AUGUUGUAUGAAAGGAGAGAAGGUCAGCACUCCCCUUGAGAAGGAUGGAAGAAGUCCUAGUGGCCUUUACAACACAUAUAUGGUUAAGGCAUUGCCACCUACUUCGUCCAGCGCUUAGAACAGUGCUUGGC